rnacentral:rRNA from 1 species
UACGGGGGGGGCAAGCGUUGUUCGGAAUUACUGGGCGUAAAGGGCUCGUAGGCGGCCAACUAAGUCAGACGUGAAAUCCCCAGGCUCAACCUGGGAACUGCGUCUGAUACUGGAUGGCUUGAAUCCGGGAGAGGGAUGCAGAAUUCCAGGCGUAGCGGUGAAAUGCGUAGAUAUCUGGAGGAAUACCGGUGGCGAAGGCGGCAUCCUGGACCGGCAUUGACGCUGAGGAGCGAAAGCCAGGGGAGCAAACGGG